rnacentral:rRNA from 1 species
AGGACGAACGCUGGCGGCGCGCCUAACACAUGCAAGUCGAACGAGCGAGAGAGAGUUUACUUUUCGAGCGAGUGGCGAACGGGUGAGUAACGCGUGAGGAACCUGCCUCAAAGAGGGGGACAACAGUUGGAAACGACUGCUAAUACCGCAUAAGCCCACGACCCGGCAUCGGGUAGAGGGAAAAGGAGCAAUCCGCUUUGAGAUGGCCUCGCGUCCGAUUAGCUAGUUGGUGAGGUAACGGCCCACCAAGGCGACGAUCGGUAGCCGGACUGAGAGGUUGAACGGCCACAUUGGGACUGAGACACGGCCCAGACUCCUACGGGAGGCAGCAGUGGGGAAUAUUGCACAAUGGGGGAAACCCUGAUGCAGCGACGCCGCGUGGAGGAAGAAGGUCUUCGGAUUGUAAACUCCUGUUGUUGAGGAAGAUAAUGACGGUACUCAACAAGGAAGUGACGGCUAACUACGUG